AAUCAACGCUGGCGGCGUGCCUAACACAUGCAAGUCGAACGAGAAAGUGGAGCAAUCCAUGAGUACAGUGGCGACCGGGUGAGUAACACGUGAUCAACCUGCCCUCGAGUGGGGAAUAACUCCGGGAAACCGGAGCUAAUACCGCAUAACAUCUUCGGAACGGAAGUUCUGUGGAUCAAAGGAGCAAUUCGCUUGAGGAGGGGGUCGCGGCUGAUUAGCUAGUUGGCGGGGUAAUGGCCCACCAAGGCAAAGAUCGGUAUCCGGCCUGAG
rnacentral:rRNA from 1 species